GGAGGCUUUGGGCUGCGCUCUGCCCCGGCCAGCCGUGAAAGGUCCUGUGUAGGAAUGUCGCAGGCUGAAGUCACCCCAGUGCGGGGGACACGGGCCCCUGGGCAGGAACUGCUCCAGGAAGGGGGGCUCUGGCACAGCCAGGCAGGCGCCAGGCUGGACAGAGCAGGAGGAAGGCACUGCGGCCAAGCACUGCCAGGGUCGGCCAAGUGUCUGCCCUCUCCCCACCUCCUCGGCCUGGUGCCUGGGGGUGGGUUGUGUCAUCACCCUUCCCUCCGUGGCCAUGGGCAGGAGCUGGGGCUGCCCCUAUGGGGCAGGUGCCCGGCUGAAGCAGAAACUGCGGUUUUGGGGCCGUGGGUCCCCCUGCCGCCCCCAUUGCCGGGGACAUUGUGCUUUCCCGUCCACUCCCCCCGCUGCUGGGCUGCCUGCCCUCCACGCAGGAGACGAGGGAUUUCACAACCCAGCCCAGACAGGAUUAAAGAGAAAUACACAAGUAAACAAAUCGCGGCCUCCUAACGCUGGACGCGCCGUUCGGGGAGCGGAUCCUGCGGGCCGUCAAACUGCCCCUGUCAGAGGAAAGGAGUUGCUUCCUGUUAUUUCCAUUGAAAUCCUUGUCCCGCUCGUUAGCCGGCAGGCUUUGGCAGGAUGGCACCGCGCACGCACAUCAGCUCCGGCCGCCUCUCCCGGGGGCUCCUGCUGCUCUCCGAGCGGAAUUACACCGCCAUCACACAGCACUGCUGGGAUUACUUCGUCUACCUGAUGAGGAAUGUGCUGCCAUCGGAGCUGUGCGAGUGGAAAAUCAUCAGCAGGUACGGGCCAGCAGGACUGUGAGAGCCUGAAUGAGGGAUGUGGGAGUCCAGGUGGCUCUUCAAAAUGCAGUUUAUUCCAUCCAAGACCUUUCAGCAGUCCAGGGUCAUGAGUAACAGAGCCUGUGCCUACAGCUGUCAGCUCCAGCUGCAGGCAGGCCUGGAGACCCUUUGGUUUAGGUUACAAUGCAUUAUAUACUUUUCUUUUGGUUACAAUACAUUAUAUACUUUUCUUUUAGCUACGAUGCAUUAUAUACUUUUCUUUGCUGAGCAUCUUCAUACAGUAGAACCAAUCUGUACCUUAACUUUUACCUAUAGCCUAUCAUAACUACUGUAAUUACCAUAUUCAUGUUACUGUUCUCCAAUCACUCAAAGUCAGUACAUUACAGUGUAAGCUGGAAGUUGUUUUCCAGUUUUCUUGCAGUAGAAAAUUCUGAGACCUUUUUUCUACUUGCAACAUCAGCAGGCUUGUUUGCCUGUGCUAUUGUUUCUGCUUGGUAAAAACAUCUUCUUGCUCUAAGUCCUAAAAACCCCUUCUAACUGACAUAAACCUUACCUUCUUAGUUAUCCUGUAAGACUGGCUCAGCAAUUCUUUUCUUCUAUACCAAAACUUGCUUUAAUUUCUAUUCCUUCAUCAGACUCUACAUUUAAAAAUCUUU
rnacentral:lncRNA from 1 species